rnacentral:rRNA from 1 species
UCGUAGCUGGUUUGUUAAGUCUCUGGGGAAAUCUUCCGGCUUAACCGGAAGGCGUCUCAGGGAUACUGGCAGACUAGGGACCGGAAGAGGUGAGGGGUACUCCAGGGGUAGGAGUGAAAUCCUGUAAUCCUUGGGGGACCACCUGUGGCGAAGGCGCCUCACCAGAACGGCUCCGACAGUGAGGGACGAAAGCUGGGGGAGCAAACCGGAUUAGAUACCCGGGUAGUCCCAGCCGUAAACGAUGUGCGUUAGGUGUAUCGGUGACCACGAGUCACCGAGGUGCCGAAGAGAAAUCGUGAAACGUACCGCCUGGGAAGUACGGUCGCAAGGCUGAAACUUAAAGGAAUUGGCGGGGGAGCACCACAACAGGUGGAGCCUGCGGUUUAAUCGGACUCAACGCCGGAAAACUCACCAGAUAAGACAGCUGAAUGAUAGUCGGGCUGAAGACUCUACUUGACUAGCUGAGAGGAGGUGCAUGGCCGUCGUCAGUUCGUAUG